rnacentral:rRNA from 1 species
UACGUAGGGUGCAAGCGUUAAUCGGAAUUACUGGGCGUAGAGCGUGCGCAGGCGGUUGUGCAAGACCGAUGUGAAAUCCCCGGGCUUAACCUGGGAAUGGCAUUGGUGACUGCACGGCUAGAGUGUGUCAGAGGGGGGUAGAAUUCCACGUGUAGUAGCGAAAUGCGUAGAGAUGUGGAGGAAUACCGAUGGCGAAGGCAGCCCCCUGGGAUAACACUGACGCUCAUGCACGAAAGCGUGGGGAGCAAACAGG